AGAGUUUGAUUAUGGCUCAGAACGAACGCUUGCUGCAUGCUUUAUACAUGCAAGUCGAACGGAGGCCCUAGCUUGCUAGGUGUCCUUAGUGGCGCACGGGUGAGUAACACGUGGGAACAUACCUCAUAGUACGGAAUAACUGCGGGAAACUGUAGCUAAUACCGUAUAUUCCAGUAAUGGGAAAGAUUUAUCGCUAUGAGAUUGGCCCGCGCAAGAUUAGCUUGUUGGUGAGGUAAUGGCUCACCAAGGCUCCGAUCUUUAGCUGGUUUGAGAGGACGAUCAGCCACACUGGGACUGAGACACGGCCCAGACUCCUACGGGAGGCAGCAGUAGGGAAUAUUGGACAAUGGGGGAAACCCUGAUCCAGCAAUGCAGCGUGAGUGACGAAGGCCUUAGGGUUGUAAAACUCUUUCAUCGGUGAGGAUAAUGACAGUAGCCGAAGAAGAAGGACCGGCUAAUUCCGUGCCAGCAGCCGCGGUAAUACGGAAGGUCCUAGCGUUGUUCGGAAUUACUGGGCGUAAAGCGCAUGUAGGCGGAACAAAAAGUUAGAAGUGAAAUCCCUGGGCUCAACCUAGGAAUUGCUUUUAAAACUUUUGUUCUGGAAUUCAGGAGAGGAAAAUGGAAUUUCCAGUGUAGAGGUGAAAUUCGUAGAUAUUGGAAGGAACACCAGUGGCGAAGGCGAUUUUCUGGACUGAUAUUGACGCUGAGAUGCGAAGGCAUGGGUAGCAAACGGGAUUAGAUACCCCGGUAGUCCAUGCAGUAAACGAUGGGUGCUAGUCGUCGGACUUUUGUUCGGUGUCGUAGCUAACGCGUUAAGCACCCCGCCUGGGGAGUACGGUCGCAAGAUUAAAACUCAAAUAAAUUGACGGGGACCCGCACAAGCAGUGGAGCAUGUGGUUUAAUUCGACGCAACGCGAAGAACCUUACCAGCGUUUGACAUGGGAAGUGCCGGUUACAGAAUGGUAACCUUCAGUUCGGCUGGCUUCCGCACAGGUGCUGCAUGGCUGUCGUCAGCUCGUGUCGUGAGAUGUUGG
rnacentral:rRNA from 1 species